rnacentral:rRNA from 1 species
UGAGGAAUAUUGGUCAAUGGGCGGCAGCCUGAACCAGCCAUCCCGCGUGAAGGAAGAAUGCGCUAUGCGUUGUAAACUUCUUUUUCAGGGGGAUAAAAUUCUGUAUGUAUACAGGACUGAAGGUACCCUGAGAAUACGCAUCUGCUAACUCCGUGCCAGCAGCCGCGGUAAUACGGAGGAUGCUAGCGUUAUCCGGAUUUAUUGGGUUUAAAGGGUGCUUAGGCGGAAUAAUAAGUCAGUGUUGAAACCCUGCAGCUUAACUGUAGACUUGUCAUUGAUACUGUGUGUCUUGAGUAUGGUCAAGGCAGGCGGAAUGUGUAAUGUAGCGGUGAAAUGCUUAGAUAUUACACAGAACACCGAUAGCGAAGGCAGCUUGCUGGGCCGUUACUGACGCUGAUGCACGAAAGCGUGGGGAUCGAACA